AAUUUCCUACUGUGUUCGUGUAAUGAGUUAAUCUUGACCCAACAUUUAAAUUAAUGGGAAUCUUACUCUUCUUGUGGAAUGAUACUUAAGCACUGCUUAUGGCAAAGAAGCAAGAAGGCGAUGCCCCCCUGCUAAAGCGGGAUCGAUAAUAACUCACAAAGCGGCAUGGUGGGAAUUUU
rnacentral:other from 1 species